rnacentral:rRNA from 1 species
UAGAGUUCUAUUCUGGCUCAGAACGAACGUUGGCGGCGUGGAUUAGGCAUGCAAGUCGAACGAAUCCCUGGGGGCUUGCUCCCAUGGGGAAGUGGCGAAAGGGGCAGUAAUGUAUGGGUAACCUACCCCGAGAUCCGGGAUAGCCACGGGAAACCGUGGGUAAUACCGGGCGACGCAGCGGAGUCACAUGGCUCUGCUGCCAAAGGUCCGCUGUCUUGGGAGGGGCUCAUAUGGUAUUAGCUAGUUGGUGGGGUAAUGGCCCAUCAAGGCAAAGAUGCCUAGCUGGUGUGAGAGCACGACCAGCGCCACUGGCACUGAGACACUGGCCAGACUCCUACGGGAGGCUGCAGUCGAGAAUCUUCGGCAAUGGGCGAAAGCCUGACCGAGCGACGCCGCGUGUGCGAUGAAGGCCUUCGGGUUGUAAAGCACUGUCAGGGGGGAGCAAAUCAAUGAGCGAUCCCCAGAGGAAGCACGGGCUAAGUUCGUGCCAGCAGCCGCGGUAAGACGAACCGUGCGAACGUUGUUCGGAAUCACUGGGCUUAAAGGGCGCGUAGGCGGUCUGCCAAGUCGGUGGUGAAAUCUUUCGGCUUAACCGGAAAAGUGCCAACGAUACUGGCGGACUUGAGGGAGGUAGGGGCAGAUGGAACUUCGGGUGGAGCGGUGAAAUGUGUUGAUAUCCGAAGGAACGCCGGUGGCGAAAGCGAUCUGCUGGACCUCUACUGACGCUGAGGCGCGAAAGCCAGGGGAGCAAACGGGAUUAGAUACCCCGGUAGUCCUGGCCCUAAACGA